rfam:Rattus norvegicus chromosome 9, whole genome shotgun sequence.
GGGGGUUUAGCUCAGCGGUAGAGCGCUUGCCUAGCAAGCACAAGGCCCUGGGUUCGGUCCCCAGCUCCG